rnacentral:rRNA from 1 species
CUCCUACGGGGGGCAGCAGUGAGGAAUAUUGGUCAAUGGGCGGAAGCCUGAACCAGCCAAGUCGCGUGAGGGAUUAAGGCCCUGCGGGUCGUAAACCUCUUUUGCCGGGGAGCAGUGGUCCGGACGCGUCCGGACCGGGAGAGUACCCGGAGAAAAAGCAUCGGCUAACUCCGUGCCAGCAGCCGCGGUAAUACGUAGGUGGCAAGCGUUAUCCGGAUUUAUUGGGCGUAAAGGGAACGCAGGCGGUCUUUUAAGUCUGAUGUGAAAGCCUUCGGCUUAACCGGAGUAGUGCAUUGGAAACUGGG